rnacentral:misc_RNA from 1 species
GAAACGGGGGCUUCUAGGGCUGUCGUCGACUUUUCGCGAGCACGCCCUAUUGCUCUCGCCCUUCCAUCUCACCCUAUGUGAUCACAGCUCGCCUUCCCUUUUGGCUCGUCCCGAGUCUGACUUAUUAUUUCACACAAAAUCACUUUCGUGAACAAAGCCUCUGUGCCACAACACGCUAUUAAUACAACUUUCAUCAACGGAUCUCUUGGCUCUCCCAUCGUCGAUGAAUGCACCGAUCUGUGAUACCAAAUGGCACCCUUUGAAUUUCCGAGUCAUCGAAUCUUCGAACGUCCUUGCGCCCCUUGAGUUCUGCUUGCAUUGCGCUUGAUCUCUCCUGAUUCUGUGAAACCUUUCUUUUAUGAAAGGGAUUUGCACUUGGAGCCUUUUUGCAGUCUUGCGCUCCAGACUGGACUCGCCUAAGUGAAUCAUUGGAGGCUGCUUUGCCGAUCCUUGAUGUGAUAACCAUGGUACCACGUCUCGGGCCCGGCGAUGUUACCCGUUUCUAAUCGUCUCAUUGACAAUGAUGGCGUUCCGGGUCACCACCGUUUUCAUCGGUCGGGAGGCUUGACCCCACCCAAAAAAACCUUGACCUCAAAUCGGGUGAGACUACCCGCUGAACUUAAGCAUAUCAAUAAGCGGAGGAACCCUUGGGUCAUUUAGAGGAAGUAAACUUAUCAAAUAACCGAAGGAGGUCUUGGGUUUUUUGAAAUAAAUAAAAUAUCUAAAAGCAAACCAG